AAUCAACGCUGGCGGCGUGCCUCAGACAUGCAAGUCGAACGAUUAAAGCUCUCUUCGGAGAGUGUAUAGAGUGGCGCACGGGUGAGUAACACGUAAGUAAUCUACCUUCGAGUGGGAAGUAACGUCCGGAACGGACGCUAAUACCGCAUAAUGCAGCGGCAUCGCAAGAUGACAGUUGUUAAGAUUUAUUCGCUUGAAGAGGAGCUUGCGGCA
rnacentral:rRNA from 1 species